UACGGGGGGAGCAAGCGUUGUUCGGAUUUACUGGGCGUAAAGAGCUUGUAGGCGGUCUGUCGCGUCUGCUGUGAAAAUCCGGGGCUCAACCCCGGACUUGCAGUGGGUACGGGCAGACUAGAGUGUGGUAGGGGAGACUGGAAUUCCUGGUGUAGCGGUGAAAUGCGCAGAUAUCAGGAGGAACACCGAUGGCGAAGGCAGGUCUCUGGGCCACUACUGACGCUGAGAAGCGAAAGCAUGGGGAGCGAACAGG
rnacentral:rRNA from 1 species